CGCCCGGUGGCACAGCGUAGUGCGUCUGCUGAACUUCGAGUCCUCACAACCCACGAUUAUGCAGAAGAUCCCCGUUCGAUUCGGGGUCGGGCGA